GGCCAAGUUUUUAAGGGCGCACGGUGGAUGCCUUGGCACCAGGAACCGAUGAAGGACGUGGGAGGCCACGAUAGGCCCCGGGGAGCUGUCAACCGAGCUUUGAUCCGGGGGUGUCCGAAUGGGGAAACCCGGCAGUCGUCAUGGGCUGUCACCCGCUGCUGAACACAUAGGCAGUGUGGAGGGAACGCGGGGAAGUGAAACAUCUCAGUACCCGCAGGAAGAGAAAACAACCGUGAUUCCGGGAGUAGUGGCGAGCGAAACUGGAUGAGGCCAAACCAGUCACGUGUGAUACCCGGCAGGGGUUGCGUGGUUGGGGUUGUGGGAUCUCUCUUUUGCAGUCUGCCGGCUGUGAGGCGAGUCAGAAACCGUUGAUGUAGGCGAAGGACAUGCGAAAGGUCCGGCGUAGAGGGUAAGACCCCCGUAGCUGAAACAUUAGCGGCUCGUUUGAGAGACACCCAAGUAGCACGGGGCCCGAGAAAUCCCGUGUGAAUCUGGCGGGACCACCCGUUAAGCCUAAAUAUUCCCUGGUGACCGAUAGCGGAUAGUACCGUGAGGGAAUGGUGAAAAGUACCGCGGGAGCGGAGUGAAAUAGUACCUGAAACCGUGUGCCUACAAGCCGUGGGAGCGUCGCGCAGAGAACUUGUUCUUUGCGUCGUGACUGCGUGCCUUUUGAAGAAUGAGCCUGCGAGUUUGCGGUAUGUUGCGAGGUUAACCCGUGUGGGGAAGCCGUAGCGAAAGCGAGUCCGAAUAGGGCGUGGAGUAGCAUGCUCAAGACCCGAAGCGGAGUGAUCUAGCCAUGGGCAGGUUGAAGCGGAGGUAAGACUUCGUGGAGGACCGAACCCACCAGGGUUGAAAACCUGGGGGAUGACCUGUGGUUAGGGGUGAAAGGCCAAUCAAACUCCGUGAUAGCUGGUUCUCCCCGAAAUGCAUUUAGGUGCAGCGUCGUGUGUUUCUUGCCGGAGGUAGAGCACUGGAUAGGCGAUGGGCCCUACCGGGUUACUGACCUUAGCCAAACUCCGAAUGCCGGUAAGUGAGAGCGCGGCAGUGAGACUGUGGGGGAUAAGCUCCAUGGUCGAGAGGGAAACAGCCCAGAGCAUCGACUAAGGCCCCUAAGCGUGUGCUAAGUGGGAAAGGAUGUGGAGUCGCAGAGACAACCAGGAGGUUGGCUUAGAAGCAGCCACCCUUGAAAGAGUGCGUAAUAGCUCACUGGUCAAGUGAUUCCGCGCCGACAAUGUAGCGGGGCUCAAGUACACCGCCGAAGUCGUGUCAUUGCGAUAUUACUCCUAACGGGGAUCGUGAUGGGUAGGGGAGCGUCGUGUGCCGGGUGAAGCAGCCGUGGAAACGAGUUGUGGACGGUUCACGAGUGAGAAUGCAGGCAUGAGUAGCGAUACAAGAGUGGGAAACUCUUGCGCCGAUUGACUAAGGGUUCCUGGGUCAAGCUGAUCUGCCCAGGGUAAGUCGGGACCUAAGGCGAGGCCGACAGGCGUAGUCGAUGGACAACCGGUUGAUAUUCCGGUACCCGCUUUGAAGCGCCCAAUACUGAAUCAGGCGAUGCUAAGUCCGUGAAGCCGCCCUGGAGCCUUCGGGCAAAGGGGAGUGGUGGAGCCGACGGACCAGACUUGUAGUAGGUAAGCGAUGGGGUGACGCAGGAAGGUAGUCCAGCCCGGGCGGUGGUUGUCCCGGGGUAAGGGUGUAGGCCGUGUGGUAGGUAAAUCCGUCGCACGUUAAGGCUGAGACCUGAUGCCGAGCCGAUUGUGGUGAAGUGGAUGAUCCUAUGCUGUCGAGAAAAGCCUCUAGUGAGUUUCAAGGCGGCCCGUACCCUAAACCGACUCAGGUGGUCAGGUAGAGAAUACCGAGGCGUUCGGGUGAACUAUGGUUAAGGAACUCGGCAAAAUGCCCCCGUAACUUCGGGAGAAGGGGGGCCAUUUCUGGUGAGGGAACUUGCUUCCUGAGCUGGGGGUGGCCGCAGAGACCAGCGAGAAGCGACUGUUUACUAAAAACACAGGUCCGUGCGAAGCCGUAAGGCGAUGUAUACGGACUGACGCCUGCCCGGUGCUGGAACGUUAAGGGGACCGGUUAGCUUGGAUUCGUUCAGGCGAAGCUGAGAACUUAAGCGCCAGUAAACGGCGGUGGUAACUAUAACCAUCCUAAGGUAGCGAAAUUCCUUGUCGGGUAAGUUCCGACCUGCACGAAUGGCGUAACGACUUCUCGACUGUCUCAACCAUAGGCCCGGUGAAAUUGCAUUACGAGUAAAGAUGCUCGUUUCGCGCAGCAGGACGGAAAGACCCCGGGACCUUUACUAUAGCUUGAUAUUGGUGUUCGGUUCGGCUUGUGUAGGAUAGGUGGGAGACUGUGAAGCGCCAACGCCAGUUGGUGUGGAGUCGUUGUUGAAAUACCACUCUGGUCGUGCUGGAUGUCUAACCUGGGUCCGUGAUCCGGAUCAGGGACAGUGUCUGGUGGGUAGUUUAACUGGGGCGGUUGCCUCCUAAAGAGUAACGGAGGCGCCCAAAGGUUCCCUCAGCCUGGUUGGUAAUCAGGUGUUGAGUGUAAGUGCACAAGGGAGCUUGACUGUGAGACUGACGGGUCGAGCAGGUACGAAAGUAGGGACUAGUGAUCCGGCGGUGGCUUGUGGAAGCGCCGUCGCUCAACGGAUAAAAGGUACCCCGGGGAUAACAGGCUGAUCUUCCCCAAGAGUCCAUAUCGACGGGAUGGUUUGGCACCUCGAUGUCGGCUCGUCGCAUCCUGGGGCUGGAGUCGGUCCCAAGGGUUGGGCUGUUCGCCCAUUAAAGCGGUACGCGAGCUGGGUUUAGAACGUCGUGAGACAGUUCGGUCCCUAUCCGCUGUGCGCGUAGGAGUCUUGAGAAGGGCUGUCCCUAGUACGAGAGGACCGGGACGGACGAACCUCUGGUGUGCCAGUUGUUCUGCCAAGGGCAUGGCUGGUUGGCUACGUUCGGAAAGGAUAACUGCUGAAAGCAUCUAAGCGGGAAGCCUGCUUCGAGAUGAGGGCUCCCUCCUCCUUGAGAGGGUAAGGCUCCCAGUAGACGACUGGGUUGAUAGGCCAGAUAUGGAAGCACUGUAAGGUGUGGAGUUGACUGGUACUAAUAGGCCGAGGGCUUGUCCUC
rfam:Streptomyces albulus strain NK660, complete genome.